UUGCUAGUAAUCGCGGAUCAGCAUGCCGCGGUGAAUACNUUCCCGGGUCUUGUACACACCGCCCGUCACACCACGAGAGUUUACAACACCCGAAGUCGGUGGGGUAACCCUUACGGGAGCCAGCCGCCGAAGGUGG
rnacentral:rRNA from 1 species